GGUCAAGUGAUUAAGGGUUGACGGUGAAUGCCUUGGCAGAUGACAGCGAUGAAGGACGUGGUAAGCUGCGAAAAGUCUCGGGGAGUUGCACGCGAACAUUGAUCCGGGGAUGU
rnacentral:rRNA from 1 species